UACGUAGGGUGCAAGCGUUGUCCGGAAUUAUUGGGCGUAAAGAGCUCGUAGGCGGUUUGUCGCGUCUGCUGUGAAAACUCAGGGCUUAACCCUGAGCUUGCAGUGGGUACGGGCAGACUAGAGUGCGGUAGGGGGAGACUGGAAUUCCUGGUGUAGCGGUGAAAUGCGCAGAUAUCAGGAGGAACACCGGUGGCGAAGGCGGGUCUCUGGGCCGUAACUGACGCUGGAGGAGCGAAAGC
rnacentral:rRNA from 1 species